rnacentral:rRNA from 1 species
GACGAACGCUGGCGGCGUGCUUAACACAUGCAAGUCGAGCGGUAAGGCCCUUUCGGGGGUACGACGAGCGGCGAACGGGUGAGUAACACGUGGGUGACCUGCCCUCAGCUCUGGGAGUAAGCCGUGGGAAACCGGGGUCGUAAUACUGGAUAUGACUCCAUGACGCAUGUUGUGGGGUGGAAAACCUUAGUGCGGCUGAGGAUGGGCCCGCGGCCUAUCAGCUUGUUGGUGGGGUGAUGGCCUACCAAGGCGACGACGGGUAGCCGGCCUGAGAGGGCGACCGGCCACACUGGGACUGAGACACGGCCCAGACUCCUACGGGAGGCAGCAGUGGGGAAUCUUGCGCAAUGGGCGAAAGCCUGACGCAGCGACGCCGCGUGAGGGAUGACGGCCUGGUGU